rnacentral:rRNA from 1 species
AACGAACGCUGGCGGCAUGCCUAACAUAUGCAAGUCGAACGAGACCUUCGGGUCUAGUGGCGCACGGGUGCGUAACGCGUGGGAACCUGCCCUUAGGUUCGGAAUAACUCCCCGAAAGGGGUGCUAAUACCGGAUAAUGUCUUCGGACCAAAGAUUUAUCGCCUUUGGAUGGGCCCGCGUUGGAUUAGCUAGUUGGUAGGGUAAAAGCCUACCAAGGCGACGAUCCAUAGCUGGUCUGAGAGGAUGAUCAGCCACACUGGGACUGAGACACGGCCCAGACUCCUACGGGAGGCAGCAGUGGGGAAUAUUGGACAAUGGACGAAAGCCUGAUCCAGCAAUGCCGCGUGAGUGAUGAAGGCCUUAGGGUUGUAAAGCUCUUUUACCCGGGAUGAUAAUGACAGUACCGGGAGAAUAAGCUCCGGCUAACUCCGUG